rnacentral:rRNA from 1 species
AUUGAACGCUGGCGGCAUGCCUUACACAUGCAAGUCGAACGGCAGCACGGGAGCAAUCCUGGUGGCGAGUGGCGAACGGGUGAGUAAUAUAUCGGAACGUGCCCAGUCGUGGGGAUAACGUAGCGAAAGCUACGCUAAUACCGCAUACGAUCUAUGGAUGAAAGCGGGGGAUCGCAGACCUCGCGCGAUUGGAGCGGCCGAUAUCAGAUUAGGUAGUUGGUGAGGUAAAGGCUCACCAAGCCGACGAUCUGUAGCUGGUCUGAGAGGACGACCAGCCAC